UACGGGGGGGGCGAAGCGUUGUUCGGAAUUACUGGGCGUAAAGGGCUCGUAGGCGGCCAACUAAGUCAGACGUGAAAUCCCCAGGGCUCAACUUGGGAACUGCGUCUGAUACUGGAUGGCUUGAAUUCGGGAGAGGGAUGCAGAAUUCCAGGUGUAGCGGUGAAAUGCGUAGAUAUCUGGAGGAAUACCGGUGGCGAAGGCGGCAUCCUGGACCGACAUUGACGCUGAUGAGCGAAAGCUAGGGGAGCAAACGGGG
rnacentral:rRNA from 1 species